GACCCUGCAGAUAAGGAGAAUCUAAUGCCUGUGAGCCUGUGGUAGAGCCCUGGGCUGCUCGUGUCUGCGAGGGCUGCUCGUGUCUGCUGAGGGAGGGAGACGCAGUGCUUUCCGCUGAUGUUAUAGUGUGGGGCGUCCCACUCCCCUGCCCGUCUGCAAGGGGCAGCUCUACAGAGCCACGUGGUUUGUUUAUAAAGGAGAAGAGACAGCCUUUCAAUACACUAGGGGCUACGCCACUCGGAUGACAUGUGAAGGAAGCUUAGAAAACAAAGCAAGGAAACGCAAGCGAGGAAAUGACACUGCAGACCUCCAUCCCGUUCUGGCCACCUCCUGCUCGCCGACGGGCAGAGAAGACUACUCCAGCAACACCGGUGUCGCAGGUGGCUCAGCGGUGUAACGAAGGAGAGAUUUUGUCCCCCAUGGUGUUAAAGGUAGCGUAACAUGAUGAAUCUGGGUCAGGAGCGGUCGUGAACUCCUGCUGGCCAGGGUUACAGCUCCUAGCUCCACCUGGCGCGCAGCCUGGCAGUACGGACCUCCUCUUUCUCCCCUGCAUUUUCUGGUCCCUGCUCACCUCCUACAGUUUUUACUGCAAAGCAGAGAUGGGUCACAGCUCCCUGCGCAGUGAACCUUGCCGAAACACACUUCUGUUUGUGCCGUCCAGUGCCCAGCUGCUGACGGGCAGCUCUUUGCAGUGCACGAAGCACACAGAACCACCCGGUCUUGGGUGCCGUGGUCUGACCUGCACUGCACCGCCCUGACAGCAAUCGCAGGAGCUGGCUUUUCUGGUCCUUCCCCUGCCACAGACACAACACCCUCAGUAAUGACACGUGCAUGAAAAGUCAGUCCUUUCGUCUCCUCUGCUUUUUGCAAUGGCUGUAGAUAAUUUGCUUACCCUGCCCCUGGCUGUAGUGCAAGCUGCUUCGCCCCAGACUGGGACUGGGCAGAAAUUCCUGCAUGCAGGUUUGGACCACAAGACGUAAGAGACUUGUUCACGUCUGUGGCGGGACCCUUGUUCACAAGCACCGGGUUCUCACUGCAGCCCAUUGCUCCAAACGGGAGAGAUGGAAGAUGUACCUGGAGAAUCCUCCUAGGAAAGCAUAACCUUAGCCACAAUGAAUCCACAGAGUACACCGUGUGAAGGAAAUCUACCAGCAUGAGUGGUUCCACGAAAACCACUCAAACCAUCUGGAUUAUGAUAUGGCCUUGGUCAAGCCUAUGGAAGACAAAACAGCAAGCCCUUUGGCCUGCUAUGCCUGCCUGCCCGAGAGAGGCUGCUCUGUCUGCCCGGGACAGUCCUGCUCGGUGACGAGAUAGGUGGACACAACAGGUAUAUUAGCGCUGCUGGUUUUCAAGGUCAGAUGGGGUCAGCAUUAUUUCCUCUUAAAUCUAAAUACAUAGAGAAAGAUUAUAUAGCACAGCCUGUAUCUCCUAUGUUUUUAGAUGAAGGCAAAUACCUGAAAUGCAGGUUCCUAGGGUAGCAGCACAUCUGGGGUUAGGUGGCUGACUUGUACUUUCUCUUAUGUCAGCAUUGAAUUAUUUGUACUCUGGCUGCAGCCAUGAGUCCUACCCACAAGUUAAGUAUCCUAUUCAAAAGAACAGUUCCUUGGUCUACGCCCAGAGGAGCUCCUGUGUGUGUAGGAACCGGUGACUCAGCUACCACACCUAUGCAGAGCUACACAGCUACUUAGCUUUCCAUUUGAAGUCCUGUCUCAAUGUUAAUGUAUGUUUUAAGGACUGUGCAAACACGUAGGAAAGGCAGCACUUCACAGACACGCAUUCUUGGAGGUGCUGGCUGGGUGGUCCUGGAAAGGCUUUGAAUAGCCAAAAGCGUGGGAAGCAGCGCUGCAACCCAUUCUUGCUGCUCUCCAGGAUAGUAACUGGAUCCUUUUCCCAGCUGAAAACUGUGGUGGCAGGUAUCAGGAGAUGUUCUGCUCUGCUUCACACCCGGGGAAAGACAAAAACAAACAAACAAAGGUACUGUGUAAAGCCAAGCCAAAUGAUGCACACUGGCAAUCUGCCGGUGGACAUGAGAAAGACCAAAACUGGUGGCUUGCCACAUCCCCUGACAUGUUCAAUAUUUCACUUUUCUCCUCAGCUUGGUUUUCUUGUGGGUGGGGAAGGUGACCUGGCAUUGCCCAAGGUUUUAAUAGAAUUAUAGAAUCAUAAAAUCACAGAAUCAUUUAAGUUGGAAAAGACCUCUAGGAUCAUCAGGUCCAACUGUCAAAUACUAUAAUGUCUCCUAAACCAUGUCCCAAGUGCUGCAUCUACAUGUUUUUGAACACCUCCAGGGACAGUGACUCCCCCACCUCUCUGGGCAGCCUGUGCCAAUGUCUGACCACUCUUGCAGUGAAGAAAUUUCUCCUAAUAUCCAACCUAAACCUCCCCCGAUGCAGCUUGAGGCCGUUUCCUCUCGUCCUGUCACUGGUGACUUGGGAGCAGAGACCAGCCCCCCCCUCACUCCAGCCCCUCUCAGGCAGCUGCAGAGAGCGAGAAGGGCUCCCCUCA